GCUCUCUUCAUCAGCACAUGGACUAAAACAGAAACAACACAGGGAGGAUCAGCAUGGCCCCCGUGCAAGGAUGACGUGAAAUCUGUGAAGCAUCUCAUGUUUCA